rnacentral:tRNA from 1 species
AAAAAGUUAGUUAAAAUAUAAUAUUAGGUUGUCAGCCUUAUGUUACUAAAUGAUUAGUACUUUUUA